UGGGGAAUAUUGCACAAUGGAGGGAACUCUGAUGCAGCGACGCCGCGUGAACGAAGAAGGCUUUCGAGUCGUAAAGUUCUUUUAUAUGGGAAGAUAAUGACGGUACCAUAAGAAAAAGCCCCGGCUAACUACGUGCCAGCAGCCGCGGUAAUACGUAGGGGGCUAGCGUUGUCCGGAAUCACUGGGCGUAAAGGGUUCGCAGGCGGAAAUGCAAGUCAGGUGUAAAAGGCAGUAGCUUAACUACUGUAAGCAUUUGAAACUGCAUAUCUUGAGAAGAGUAGAGGUAAGUGGAAUUUUUAGUGUAGCGGUGAAAUGCGUAGAUAUUAAAAAGAAUACCGGUGGUGAAGGCGACUUACUGGGCUCAUUCUGACGCUGAGGAACGAAAGCGUGGGUAGCAAACAGG
rnacentral:rRNA from 2 species